rnacentral:rRNA from 1 species
UACGUAGGUGGCAAGCGUUGUCCGGAUUUACUGGGCGUAAAGAGCGCGCAGGCGGUCGUUCAAGUCGCGUGUGAAAGCCCCCGGCUCAACUGGGGAGGGUCACGCGAUACUGAUCGACUCGAAGGCAGGAGAGGGUAGUGGAAUUCCUGGUGUAGCGGUGAAAUGCGUAGAUAUCAGGAGGAACACCGGUGGUGUAGACGGCUUUCUGGACCGUAACUGACGCUGAGACACGAAAGCGUGGGUAGCAAACAGG